UGAAAGUGUAACAAAGAUAGCACAGAGUAAGGCAGAGAGUUAGCUCACCGGGAAAAUGAUAGGCCAUUCUGUAUCUCUUAUUAUCACAUCAUAAUACCGAUAUUUUCUCUUUGUCAUCUUGAUAGAAAUCCUUAGUAGAUGGCGUACAUGUCGUUAGUAAUAUUACAGAAAGCUGUUGACUUUGUUUAAGCGGUUGUGACAUUUUAUGUAUGUCACAUGUCACACAGUCCUUUUGCGUUUAUUGUGGUUUAUUGUCUUAUUUGUGCUUAUUAUCUAUUUUUGCGUUGUAUUUUUUACGAAUAAUUUUCGAGAAUAAUUAUUGUAAAAAUGUUUUGCAUUGUGUGUGGAUGUAGCGAAGAUGAAGUUGGAAAAUUAUUUUGUUUUCCCAAGAAUAAGGACAGACAAAAACGGCCAACCCAACCCAACCUGUGAGGGUCAUCCCGGAGAAGACGAGGACAGGGGUUUUUAGUGUAAUUAUAUUGUAAUUUAAAUAUAAAAUUUUAAUUCGCCAAUGGAUUUCUCUUUAUUUUGCAUUGAAAUUAUAAAAUUAUAACUUUUUGAUUUGAGGUGCUUUUUAUUGGUCUAUUAAGCUGUAAUUAUUUUGGCUUACGCAAGCUAAAUAUAGCUUAAUAGAUCCACAAAAAGCACAUUAGAUCAAAAAUAUUUCUGUAUUCAAAUAUUAAAUUAACUAAACGAUUUGAAUUUGGCGCCAA